CUACGUGCCAGCAGCCGCGGUAAUACGUAGGUCCCGAGCGUUGUCCGGAUUUAUUGGGCGUAAAGCGAGCGCAGGCGGUUAGAUAAGUCUGAAGUUAAAGGCUGUGGCUUAACCAUAGUACGCUUUGGAAACUGUUUAACUUGAGUGCAAGAGGGGAGAGUGGAAUUCCAUGUGUAGCGGUGAAAUGCGUAGGUAUAUGGAGGAACACCGGUGGCGAAAGCGGCUCUCUGGCUUGUAACUGACGCUGAGGCUCGAAAGCGUGGGGAGCAAACAGGAUUAGAUACCCUGGUAGUCCACGCCGUAAACGAUG
rnacentral:rRNA from 1 species